rnacentral:pre_miRNA from 1 species
UAACCUCCCCAAGAUGGCUGUUCCCCAGGAAUGGCUGGGUGAGUAUCUCUUGGAAAGGCUCACCCUCAAGCAUGGCGAGGAGU